UACGGGGGGGGCAAGCGUUGUUCGGAAUUACUGGGCGUAAAGGGCUCGUAGGUGGCCAACUAAGUCAGACGUGAAAUCCCUCGGCUUAACCGGGGAACUGCGUCUGAUACUGGAUGGCUUGAGUUUGGGAGAGGGACGCGGAAUUCCAGGUGUAGCGGUGAAAUGCGUAGAUAUCUGGAGGAACACCGGUGGCGAAGGCAGCUCGCUGGGACGUUACUGACGCUGAGACGCGAAAGCGUGGGGAGCAAACAGGG
rnacentral:rRNA from 1 species